UAAAUUCUUUUGUUCAACGAGAAUCGCCGGAGUGGGUGAAUAUGACACAUGAUAAACACAUACGUGGAUAGUGCAUUUCCUCCUCGCCAGCGCCUUGCUAGAAUAAAAGGAUGAGUCUUAACAUGCAGGUGCUGCUUCGAUUGUCGUCCCAGUUUCUACACAACGCCACUGCUGGUCGCGUUUGCAUCAAGCCAGUCGUUAUACGGUUUCCGAAGACGUGACCGUAAAGGAACCAAUCCGAGAGUGCGCCAAAAUGCUGCUUCUCAAAGAGUGACGUCCAUGUGGAAAUUCCAGCCGCAGAUGACGAGGAAGAGCUCUUUCCAACAAAGCUCUGGAGGGAGUGCGGAAAACGUGGAGACUUCAUAAAAGUUCCGACCCGAGUACUCGAAGAGCUGAAGUCAAGACCGAGAAACUUGGACGGAACAGCAGCUCUUGCUCCUAAUUUUGCAGGUCCGGAUAUUAUGCAAGCCGAUGGCACCUACAGCGGGUACUUCACCCGGUUCUCGGGCAAAGGAACGUACUCCGUCGUGGCUUACGUUUACGGAGACAACAAGAUCAGACAUGCCCACCGAAGGACGGGUUUCCCACACGACUCCCAACUUACGGUCGGAACGGAGAACGACACAGAGGAAGGCUGGAGUGAUCCAUCAACGGAAGUACCCAUCCAUCUCUUCCAACCGGGCCGGGAAACUACGCACCUAGGGAAACAUUCUCGGCAGCAUCGGAGCCCACACCCCCGUUCCAAAGAGUAGC